AGUGAACGCUGGCGGUAGGCCUAACACAUGCAAGUCGAACGGCAGCACAGUAAGAGCUUGCUCUUACGGGUGGCGAGUGGCGGACGGGUGAGGAAUACAUCGGAAUCUACUUUUUCGUGGGGGAUAACGUAGGGAAACUUACGCUAAUACCGCAUACGACCUACGGGUGAAAGCAGGGGAUCUUCGGACCUUGCGCGAUUGAAUGAGCCGAUGUCGGAUUAGCUAGUUGGCGGGGUAAAGGCCCACCAAGUCGACGAUCCGUAGCUGGUCUGAGAGGAUGAUCGGCCACACUGGAACUGAGACACGGUCCAGACUCCUACGGGAGGCAGCAGUGGGGAAUAUUGGACAAUGGGCGCAAGCCUGAUCCAGCCAUACCGCGUGGGUGAAGAAGGCCUUCGGGUUGUAAAGCCCUUUUGUUGGGAAAGAAAAGCAGCAGGUUAAUACCCCGCUGUUCUGACGGUACCCAAAGAAUAAGCACCGGCUAACUUCGUG
rnacentral:rRNA from 1 species